rnacentral:lncRNA from 1 species
CAUUUGCUUGGUAAUGUGAAGGCACUAGUUAAGGUUACUUCUUCCUUUUUAGUGUUCCACCUUGAAUAAUUGAAAGCAUAAACGUAGCACCUUAAUUAUUACAAUGCAUUGUUGUGAAGAUUCAUGGCAGGAGGAAUACUUUUUAUACUUUGUGCUUGACUCAUUAGUGCCUGGUGCAAAAGCACAGUUGCAUCUCAGUUCUUGAUUCUCUAAAGCUCUGGAUAUCUGUGAAAAGAGCAGGAUUUGGGAAAGAAUCAUAUUCCACAGAGUCUUGUGGUGAUGUAGAUGGAAUAGGACCUCCAAAGGCCUUAGUCCUACAUUUCAGUCAGGUUAUAGACAACUUUAAGCCAUUACUCAAAGAAUUGUCCAUGUAAAUGAAAAAAAAAAUCAAAUGGAACAAAUUCUCAGUUCUUUCCUGUUCCACAGUUCUUUUCUGUUUGGUGGUCCUCAUUGUGAAUUUGCUUCCUUAAUUAGUAACUAGGCUUUAAAUAUACUACAUUCUAUGUCUUUUGCCUUUUCCCCUCUUACCUGUGUAACUCUGAAGAGGAUUCUGUGUUCAUCUUCUUUAUACUGUGGCCUUAAGCUGUUAAAUUUCUUUAAUAUAUGUUUAAUAUAUGUUAUUAAUUUCCGUUUGUCAAGUAUCUGGUAACAUGUACAGUUUGAGUUGGAAUUUGGGUACAUGGUGGGAUUCUUUGGGGCUGUCUUGUGCAGGGCCAGGAGUUGGACUUGAUCCUUGUGGGUCCCUUCCACUUCUGCAUAUUCUAUGAUUCUGUGACCGUAUGGUUAUGCCUCUGUAUAUGUCAUGUCCUUGAAUCAACUCUGAGUUACCUCCUAGUCCAUUUUUUUGGAUAGAUGCACGCUUGCUUCAAAGUGUAAUAAGGCCUUUUUAACAACCCAGGAGCAGCUAAGUGCCUUUUCAAAUGAUUCUUGAUUUGUUAUAUAAUGGUAAAACCUCUGCUUCUUUUAAUUUCUGCAGAACUCUUAAAGCAUCAGAACCAAUUUCUGAAAUUUUGACUCAUAAUUUGAUUCGGUUGCCUUGUCUGCUGGUCCUCAUCCAUGGGCAUCUAAAAAAAAAAAGCUUUUCAUAUCAAAAGUAUUUUAAGAGGAUUAACGCACAUCUUUAGCAAGAAGUGAAGGUUAGCAGCACCUAAACUUUUUCCUGAGCAGUGCAGAAAUUUUUAUUUUCUUAUUUUCAGUAGGAUGGAAAAUUAUUCUACAACUCUAAACCAAUACAGUAGUUGAUGAGUAUUUUGUUAUUUGAGACAGGGAUGAGAGGCUUCAGUGAUUAGAGACU